CCUACGGGUGACAGCAGUAGGGAAUUUUGCGCAAUGGGCGAAAGCCUGACGCAGCAACGCCGCGUGAUCGAGAAGCCCUUCGGGGUGUAAAGAUCUGUCAGUGGGGACGACACUUGACGCUACGCACAGAGUAAGCACCGGCUAACUCCGUGCCAGCAGCCGCGGCAAUUAGGGGGGUGCAAGCGUUGUCCGGAUUCUUUGGGCGUAAAGGGUUCGUAGGCGGCACGUAAAGUCUGAUGUUAAAGGCGGAGGCUCAACUUCUGUACGGCAGUGGAAACUUGCGCUCUAGAGUGCGGUAGAGGUAGAGGGAAUGCGUGGUGUAGCGGUGAAAUGCUUAGAUAUCAGGAAGAACACCGGUUGCGAAGGCGGUUUACUGGGCCGUAAUUGACGCUGAGGAACGAAAGCGAGGGUAGCAAAUGGGAUUAGAUACCCGGGUAGUC
rnacentral:rRNA from 1 species